rnacentral:rRNA from 1 species
AGGGCACCACCAGGAGUGGAGCCUGCGGCUUAAUUUGACUCAACACGGGGAAACUCACCCGGCCCGGACACUGUAAGGAUGGACAGAUUAAUAGCUCUUUCUUGAUUCAGUGGGUGGUGGUGCAUGGCCGUUCUUAGUUGGUGGAGUGAUUUGUCUGGUUAAUUCCGAUAACGAACGAGACUCUGACCUACUAAAUAGUACAUUGGUAUCAGGUGCUGCUUCGGUAGUGCCCCCGCCAAUGCCGACUUCUUAGAGGGAUUCGCGGUCUAUAAACCGCACGAAAGAGAGCAAUAACAGGUCUGUGAUGCCCUUAGAUGUCCGGGGCCGCACGCGCGCUACAUUGACAGCAUCAAAAGGUAUGAAAACCUGGUCCGAAAGGAUUAGGCAAUCUUCGAAUUGCUGUCACCUCAGGGAUUGAGGUUUGCAAUUGUCCCUCAUGAACGAGGAAUUCCCAGUAGGCGCAAGUCAUCAGCUUGCGUCGAUUACGUCCCUGCCCUUUGUACACACCGCCCGUCGCUA